CUUGACAAUAAGUGCCGUUUCCUGCGAAGCCAGCAUUACAGGUACAAUUGAAUGAACCUACUGUAUUAUCACACGUAGCGUUGACAUGACAAUUGUGACUUCCAUCUGCACAUUCAUCGAUAUCUGAAAAGUUCGUUUCAACGAAAUCAUGAGCGGACAUUAAUUGGUGAAUUUUAUUUUCGAAUAAAAUGUAUUGUUUAUAACGGUAUAAUAUUUAAUAAUUAUUAUUCAAGUACAAGUUGUUUUUGUUGUCGCUGGGGGUUGG